rnacentral:rRNA from 1 species
UACGUAGGGUGCGAGCGUUGUCCGGAAUUAUUGGGCGUAAAGAGCUCGUAGGCGGUCUGUCGCGUCGAUCAUGAAAACUUGGGGCUUAACCCUGAGCUUGCGGUCGAUACGGGCAUGACUGGAGUUCGGCAGGGGAGACUGGAAUUCCUGGUGUAGCGGUGAAAUGCGCAGAUAUCAGGAGGAACACCGGUGGCGAAAGGCGG